GAUAUGCACCAGCAUGCAUACAUCAGCCUGAUAGUGGCACCUGAUAGUUUCUAUGCAGCUGUUUGUGUUAUUAACUAGAUAUCCCAUGGUAGUGCUAAGUUAAAAUCUUUCAAUGAAAAGAUAUGCAGUCCCUAGAUCUCUGUUAUAGGCAUAUCAACACCAUCAGAUGUAAUGGAAGACACCAAAGCCAUGCAGCAAAAAAAGUGGUUUUGGCCUAUACUCGCCGUAUAAGACUACCCCCCCUUCCGAGGCUGAAGGACCCAC